rnacentral:rRNA from 1 species
GAUGAACGCUGGCGGCGUGCUUAACACAUGCAAGUCGAACGAUGAAGCCCAGCUUGCUGGGUGGAUUAGUGGCGAACGGGUGAGUAACACGUGAGUAACCUGCCCUUAACUCUGGGAUAAGCCUGGGAAACUGGGUCUAAUACCGGAUAGGAGCGCCUACCGCAUGGUGGGUGUUGGAAAGAUUUAUCGGUUUUGGAUGGACUCGCGGCCUAUCAGCUUGUUGGUGAGGUAAUGGCUCACCAAGGCGACGACGGGUAGCCGGCCUGAGAGGGUGACCGGCCACACUGGGACUGAGACACGGCCCAGACUCCUACGGGAGGCAGCAGUGGGGAAUAUUGCACAAUGGGCGCAAGCCUGAUGCAGCGACGCCGCGUGAGGGAUGAC